GCGAAGAGGAGGGGGCUUCAGGCAUGGCUGCCGUAAUAAGGCUCCUGGAGGAACAAAAGAGGCUCCUAUUGAGGACGACGGAUGACACAAAAAGAACCAUGGAAGAGCACAUGGGGCA